GACGAACCGUGCGAACGUUGUUCGGAAUCACUGGGCUUAAAGGGCGCGUAGGCGGCCUUCUAAGUCAGACGUGAAAUCCCCCGGCUUAACCUGGGAACUGCGUCUGAUACUGUGGGGCUAGAGUACGGAAGAGGCGAGUGGAAUUCCUGGUGUAGCGGUGGAAUGCGCAGAUAUCAGGAGGAACACCGAUGGCGAAGGCAGGUCUCUGGGCCACUACUGACGCUGAGAAGCGAAAGCAUGGGGAGCGAACAGG
rnacentral:rRNA from 1 species